GUCAAGCUCCACUGGCAUGUGUGUGGGUGGCUCGACCUACUGGAACCAUAAAUCAUAGAGAAAUCCAACGUAACCUAUACUCAAAUACUAGGAAAUUGAAUUCUACUUUAGUAAGCAAAAAGCGAAGGCAGUAAUACGAGCGUCGAAAUGAGCAGCAACUUUCGUCUGUUGUCGAUGAAUGGCAGAGCCAGCCAGCGGAAACUGAAAUUGUGAUGUGGUAACUAACCGAAAUUGCCAACAGGAAUUGCCAACAGGAAUUGCCACUACACGACCGAAACGAAUACACAAACUUUUCUUAGCAACAAAGUGUGGCAAGUACACCGGCACUCCUGCACACAUACACGGCGGUUGAAAAGUUAACGAGUUGGUUAUUGUUGUAACAACGUAAGUGAGUGCAUAUGUGCAGUUGGCAUUACAAAGUUGGCAAACAAAAUGAAAGAACUAACUGAGCACAGCAACAAAGCGAGUGUGUGCAAAUAAAAUGUGAGUGGAAGUGCUGAGUGUUUGCGGCUUUUGUCACUCACAAGUGUCGCGGUUGUGUUAAAUAAGUCGCUGCGAGCGCAAGUGUUGCAAGUUCUAUGCGAAAGUACCAAGAAAUCUGUGUUGCAAGUUGGCUGACAGCCGCUACGCCAGUCAACUUAAUGUUAUGCGAUAGUUGUAGGGAGCCCUUAUGAGUAUGCGAGCAGCCAGAAUUCGUUUAAAUAAGCUACACAAAAACAAUAGUGAGAGUCAUAAGUUUUCUUCAGUGGCAUGUGGCAAGCACAACAUAUACUAAGAGCACGCACAUAUAAUUAAGCUUAUAAAUUCUGCUUAAUCGCGCACAAGUGGCAACUCCCCGGGCAACCAUAAAUUACGAGAGCUGGGUCACUGUGGCAUGAAAUUUAAUAACGGUAACGGCGGCAACGAGUCAUAAACAAAGGUGUCUUUACACAAUAACAAAUAUACACACAUACCUACACACCCUGACAUAUACUUUAACUUAAAGCACAGCAUGGAGUCUUUCAUACGCGAGUAUGCGGUGCGCAGCAUCCUGCCACAUUUGCACAACUCCGGCGGCGCACUGCAACGCUACGUGCGCUAUGCUGUCGAAGACGCAGUCGCAAGUAUGCCCAGCAGCAACAGCGCUGGCAGCAGCGGCAGCCACAACGACAGCCUACUUCCCGGCCUAACCAAGGACAGCGGCGAUAGCGCCGAGAGCGCCAAUGACUAUUACUUUAUUACAUCGGCAUCCGCACAGCAAUUGCUCAACGACAGUGAGAGUGUCGUGGCGGCGACUACCGCAACAUCCGCGGAGCUGGUGGCACGGUCGCCGCUCACGUACAACGAAAGCAGCUACGCCAUCGCUGACAGUGCUUCGGUGCAGGUGUUAUCAACGCUUACUGCGACUAUGAGAACUAUUGGCGAGUUCGCGGCCAACUCGGCAACGGCUGCUGUGACCGCAACGACGCCGGCGGCGGGUGAGCUGAAUAUGACCGCCGAAAUGUGUGAUGACUCAGCUGAGGAUGUGUCCGCGCUGUCGACGGCCUACUUCAAGACCAUCGUCUAUCUGUUGUACAUUCCGAUAUUUAUAUUUGCGCUGCUGGGCAACGGCACCGUUUGCUAUAUUGUGCAGUCGACGCCACGCAUGCGCACCGUUACCAAUUAUUUUAUAGCCAAUUUGGCGGUCGGUGAUAUAUUAAUGUCGCUCUUUUGUGUGCCCUUUUCGUUUGUGUCCAUUUUCAUUUUGAAACAUUGGCCUUUCGGCACGGUGCUGUGUAAUUUGGUGAAUUACUCGCAGGCGGUGUCGGUGUUGGUGAGCGCGUACACGCUGGUCGCAAUUAGUAUUGAUCGUUAUUUGGCGAUUAUGCGGCCACUGCGACCGCGUAUAACGAAAAGACUUGCAAAGUUCAUCAUAGCAGGCGUUUGGACAAUUGCCUUAGCAACGGCGCUGCCCAUAUUAAUUGUCUCCAAGCUAUCGCAACCGGAGACGUGGUUCAUCGAGUGUAAGAAGUACAUUUGUCACGAGGAGUGGCCUUCCAACACACAAAACUACUAUUAUACUUUAGCGUUGCUGACACUGCAAUUCAUCGUCCCUUUGAUAGUGCUCAUCUUCACCUACACACGCAUCGCGUGUGCGGUCUGGGGCAAACGACCGCCCGGCGAGGCGGAGAACUCACGCGAUCAACGUAUGGCGCGUUCCAAACGAAAGAUGAUUAAGAUGAUGGUGAUGGUUGUUAUCGUCUUCACCAUGUGUUGGCUGCCAUUCAACGUGCUGGUGAUUCUACUCAACGAUGAUGCCUUCAAAAUCUGGGAGCCGUUGCCAUACUUCUGGUUUGCAUUCCACUGGCUGGCCAUGUCGCAUAGCUGCUACAAUCCGAUCAUCUACUGCUAUAUGAAUGCGCGUUUUCGCGGUGGUUUCCUGCAGAUUAUCUAUCGUGUGCCAGGUUUGCGACGUUGUUGUUGCCUGCGUCGUUACUUGCAGAAUCGUGGCGAGCGAAAUUACGAUGCUACCGGUGAGAUGACCUUCAAAUUCAAUGCUGGUAAUGGUGGAGUGACGUUGCUGGACGGCAUGUUCAGAAAUUUAUAACUGGUUAUGUCGUUGCAGGCUUGGCAUAUUUGGCACGGACGACACAUUCCACUUGCAGCGAGUAAACACAUCAACCACAUACAUAAGCACCCGGAAAAAACUCCGAACGAAUUCUAUGCAAAUGAGUCAAUUUUCAUGUGCGGAGGGCACAGUGUUGCGGUAGUGCCA
rnacentral:misc_RNA from 1 species